UUUUGUUUCUGUGCAUUGCAUAAGCUUUUUAAAGCAUUUAUACAUACUUAUGAAUUAUCAUUUCACCCUUAAGAGAACUUUGUAAGAAUUCCUACUACUAUUCUCAUCAAUGAAGAAAAGUUUGUUGUUUUAAUUAACUAUAAAACCUGAAAAUGUAAU